AUUGAACGCUGGCGGCAGGCCUAACACAUGCAAGUCGAGCGGAGCGGCGGACGGGUGAGUAAUGCCUAGGAAUAUGCCUGGUGGUGGGGGAUAACGUCCGGAAACGGGCGCUAAUACCGAAUACUAUCAGAUGAGCCUAGGUCGGUUUAGCUAGUUGGUGGGGUAAAGGCAUACCAAGGCGAGGAUACGUAACUGGUCUGAGAGGAGGAUCAGUCACACUGGAACUGAACACCGGUCCAGACUCCUAGGGGAGGCGGCAGUGGGAAAUUUUGGACAAGGGGCGAAAGCCUAAUCCAGCCAUGCCGCUGGUGUGAAGAAGGUCUUCGGAUUGUAAACUAUUUUAAGUUGGGAGGCGUUACCAACAUAAUAAGCACCGGCUAACUUCGUGCCAGCAGCCGCGGUAAUAC
rnacentral:rRNA from 1 species